GGGGAUAUAGCUCAGUUGGCUAGAGCGCACGGUUCGCAAUCGUGAGGUCGAGGGUUCGAAUCCCUCUAUCUCCACCA
rnacentral:tRNA from 1 species